rnacentral:tRNA from 1 species
GCUCAGUUGGCAGAGCAUGGUGUUUGCAUGGUGUUUGCAACGCCAGGGUUGUGGGUUCGAUUCCCACGGGGGGCC